rnacentral:rRNA from 1 species
UAGUUCCUAGGGAGGCAGCAGUGAGGAAUAUUGGUCAAUGGCCGCAGGGCUGAACCAGCCAAGUCGCGUGAGGGAUGACGGUCCUAUGGAUUGUAAACCUCUUUUGUCAGGGAGCAAAGGGCGCCACGUGUGGCGUUUUGCGAGUACCUGAAGAAAAAGCAUCGGCUAACUCCGUGCCAGCAGCCGCGGUAAUACGGAGGAUGCGAGCGUUAUCCGGAUUUAUUGGGUUUAAAGGGUGCGCAGGCGGAAUGUCAAGUCAGCGGUAAAAUUUCGGGGCUCAACCCCGUCGUGCCGUUGAAACUGGG